GCAUAUCAAUAAGCGGAGGAAAAGAAACCAACAGGGAUUGCCUCAGUAACGGCGAGUGAAGCGGCAAAAGCUCAAAUUUGAAAUCUAGUACCUUCGGUGCUCGAGUUGUAAUUUGAAGGUAGUCUUCUGGUGCUGGCCCUUGUCUAUGUUCCUUGGAACAGGACGUCAUAGAGGGUGAGAAUCCCGUCUGAUGGGGUGUCCAGUGCUUUGUAGAUUUCUACCGAAGAGUCGAGUUGUUUGGGAAUGCAGCUCUAAGUGGGUGGUAAAUUCCAUCUAAAGCUAAAUACUGGCGAGAGACCGAUAGCGAACAAGUACAGUGAUGGAAAGAUGAAAAGAACUUUGAAAAGAGAGUGAAAAAGUACGUGAAAUUGUUGAAAGGGAAGGGUAUUGGAUCAGACUUGGUGUCUUGUGAUUAUCUUCCCUUCUUGGGUUGUGCACUCGCAUUUCACUGGGCCAGCAUCGGUUCGGAUGGCAAGAUAAUGGCUUGGGAAUGUGGCACUCUUCGGAGUGUGUUAUAGCCCUUGUUGAUGUUGCCUAUCUGGACCGAGGACUGCGGCUUUUGCCUAGGAUGCUGGCGUAAUGAUUCAAUACCGCCCGUCUUGAAACACGGACC
rnacentral:rRNA from 1 species